UUUAAUUCGAAGCAACGCGAAGAACCUUACCAGGUCUUGACAUCUUUUGACAAUCCUAGAGAUAGGACUUUCCCUUCGGGGACAAAAUGACAGGUGGUGCAUGGUUGUCGUCAGCUCGUGUCGUGAGAUGUUGGGUUAAGUCCCGCAACGAGCGCAACCCUUAUUGUUAGUUGCCAGCAUUAAGUUGGGCACUCUAGCAAGACUGCCGGUGACAAACCGGAGGAAGGUGGGGAUGACGUCAAAUCAUCAUGCCCCUUAUGACCUGGGCUACACACGUGCUACAAUGGACGGUACAACGAGUCGCAAGACCGCGAGGUUUAGCAAAUCUCUUAAAGCCGUUCUCAGUUCGGAUUGUAGGCUGCAACUCGCCUACAUGAAGUCGGAAUCGCUAGUAAUCGCGGAUCAGCAUGCCG
rnacentral:rRNA from 2 species